rnacentral:rRNA from 1 species
GGGACUAAGACAUGCUAGUCGUGCGCUUCUAAGCCAUGGUGGAGGCGCGGCGCACAGCUCAGUAACACGUGGUUAACCUGCCCUUGGGACGGAAACACCCCCGGGAAACUGGGGCUAAUUUCCGAUAGGUGAAGACUCCUGGAAUGGAUCUUCGCCUAAAGGGCGCUUAGGCCAUGCUUCUAGGCGCUGCCCAAGGAUGGGACCGCGGCCGAUCAGGUUGUUGGUGAGGUAAUGGCUCACCAAGCCUUUAACCGGUUCGGGCCGUGGGAGCGGGAGCCCGGAGAUGGGCACUGAGACAAGGGCCCAGGUCCUACGGGGCGCAGCAGUCGCGAAAACUCCGCAAUACGCGAAGGCGUGACGGGGCUAUCCCGAGUGCCGUCCGCUGAGGAUGGCUUUUCCCCAGUGUAGAUAGCUGGGGGAAUAAGGAGAGGGCAAGUCUGGUGUCAGCCGCCGCGGUAAUACCAGCUCUCCGAGUGGUGGGGACGUUUAUUGGGCCUGAAGCAUCCGUAGCCAGCUGAGCAAGUCCCCAGUUAAAUCCAGCGAUUUAAUCGUUGGACUGCUGGGGAUACUGUCCGGCUUGGGGGUGGGAGAGG